rnacentral:rRNA from 1 species
UGGGGAAUUUUGCACAAUGGGGGAAACCCUGAUGCAGCGACGCCGCGUGAUUUAGAAGGCCUUCGGGUUGUAAAAAUCUUUUCUAUGGGAAGAAAAUGACAGUACCAUAGGAAUAAGGACCGGCUAAUUACGUGCCAGCAGCCGCGGUAAUACGUAAGGUCCGAGCGUUGUCCGGAAUCAUUGGGCGUAAAGGGUACGUAGGCGGGUAAGCAAGUUAGAAGUGAAAUCCUAUAGCCCAACUAUAGUAAGCUUUUAAAACUGCUCAUCUUGAGGUAUGGAAGGGAAAGUGGAAUUCCUAGUGUAGCGGUGAAAUGCGCAGAUAUUAGGAGGAAUACCGGUGGCGAAGGCGACUUUCUGGCCAUAACCUGACGCUGAGGUACGAAAGCGUGGGUAGCAAACAGG